UCCUGUGUCUGAAUGCGACUCCGCUGACACAGUCUUCUCACCAGUCCUGGAGUCCGUGACUGGGCAGAAGCAGAGGUGACAGGAGGCAGCGCAGGGCAAGCAAGAGAACUGCCUCAGCACCAGGCGAGAAGAAGAGUGGCCUCAGCCCAGGGUGAGUGGAGGGGCAGCCUCAACGCCCAUGAGAACAAAGGAGCGGCACCCACGAGCACGGAGGAGCGGCCACUACUGGCGGUGACCACAGCUGGCACCCAACAUGGGGCUCGAAAAGCCUGACCCAUGAGGCUGUAAUACUUGGGCUUUAACACUUUGGGCAUCCAAAGCCCCCUUGCCAGUGACUCUUUCGUGGGCGCUCGCCACUUUCGUUCUCCUGUGCUUCUUCUGGCUUGCAGUCUUCAGUUUGGUGUGUCAUUCCUGUCUCCACCGAUCAUCUUUCUGAAUGGCUCCUGAGUCCUUCUGGGUACAUCUUGCAGGAUAAUGUUCCAGCCCUGAUUUAGAUCCCAGUUCAAAACAUUAGAGUUGCCCACUAUGGAAAGCCUCCCUCCACAACCACCAACCCUGGAGAUGGCAGCCCUGACCCUGGAGAAAGUGACACACCUCUCAACCACCAAGAGACCGACCUGGUGACACAGAUCAUGAAAGCAACCGGCUCCAACAACACAGCUGAUAACCUGGGACGACCUUGAGUAUCUUCACAAGCAGAGACUAUAGCCAUUACUGGUCCAGAUCUUGCCAGAUGUGUGUCACUGAACCUGGUCUCCUGUGUCUGAAUGUGGCUCCGCUGACACAGUCUCC